GUAGGUGGCAAGCGUUGUCCGGAAUUAUUGGGGCGUAAAGCGCGCGCAGGCGGUUCUUUAAGUCUGAUGUGAAAGCCCACGGGCUCAACCGUGGAGGGUCAUUGGAAACUGGAGAACUUGAGUACAGAAGAGGAAAGCGGAAUUCCACGUGCAGCGGUGAAAUGCGUAGAGAUGUGGAGGAACACCAGUGGCGAAGGCGGCUUUCUGGUCUGUAACUGACGCUGAGGCGCGAAAGCGUGGGGAGCAAACAGGAUUAGAUACCCUGGUAGUCCACGCCGUAAACGAUGAGUGCUAAGUGUUACGGGGGGUUUCCGCCCCUUAGUGCUGCAGCUAACGCGUUAAGCACUCCGCCUGGGGAGUACGGCCGCAAAGGCUGA
rnacentral:rRNA from 1 species